rnacentral:rRNA from 1 species
GAUGAACGCUGGCGGCGUGCUUAACACAUGCAAGUCGAGCGAGUGAGUUCUUCGGAACGAUCUAGCGGCGGACGGGUGAGUAACACGUGGGCAACCUGCCUCAUAGAGGGGAAUAGCCUCCCGAAAGGGAGAUUAAUACCGCAUAACGUCGUUGAAGGGCAUCCUUCGAUGAUCAAAGGAGCAAUCCGCUAUGAGAUGGGCCCGCGGCGCAUUAGCUAGUUGGUGAGGUAACGGCUCACCAAGGCGACGAUGCGUAGCCGACCUGAGAGGGUGAUCGGCCACAUUGGGACUGAGACACGGCCCAGACUCCGACGGGAGGCAGCAGUGGGGAAUAUUGCACAAUGGGGGAAACCCUGAUGCAGCAACGCCGCGUGAGUGAUGACGGCCUUCGGGUUGUAAAGCUCUGUCUUUGGGGACGAUAAUGACGGUACCCAAGGAGGAAGUCACGGCUAACUACGUGCCAGCCGCCGCCGCAG